AUUGAACGCUGGCGGCAGGCCUAACACAUGCAAGUCGAACGAGUGGCGGACGGGUGAGUAAUGUCUGGGAAACUGCCUGAUGGAGGGGGAUAACUACUGGAACAGGUAGCUAAUACCGCAUACCAUCAGAUGUGCCCAGGUGGGAUUAGCUUGUUGGUGGGGUAACGGCUCACCAAGGCGACGAUCCCUAGCUGGCCUGAGAGGAUGACCAGCCACACUGGAACUGAGACACGGUCCAGACUCCUACGGGAGGCAGCAGUAGGGAAUAUUGCACAAUGGGCGCAAGCCUGAUGGAGCCAUGCCGCGUGUAUGAAGAAGGCCUUCGGGUUGUAAAGUACUGUCAGCGGGGAGGCGGUACCCGAAGAAGAAGCACCGGCUAACUCCGUGCCAGCCGCCGCGGUAAUAC
rnacentral:rRNA from 1 species